UGCCUGUGUUGCUAUUCCUGCUCAGAUGAAAGAAAUUCAAAUAGUUAUUGAUUGGCGCUGAGGGGAGAGUGCGGGGAUCCGGUCUGGCUCCGUUACAGCUGCACCCAGCCCCUGCCCGGCCUGCUUCCAGCCUUGGGCCCUCAGGCCCUGCUCUGGCUCCUGCCUCCAGCCUGUUCCCAGCCCCUGCCUGGGCACCUACCCUAGUCUUUGUCUUGGGGCAGCCAAAGGAGCACAUUUUAACAUGUGCUCAGUUAAAAACACUUCCUGACAUACGCUUUCAUUUAGAGCAGUCAUCAGGAGCAGUUCCAGCCGAGGAGAUACAAGCAGAAGUUGCUGGACAUGAGCCCGGACCCCAGCCUCAGCCCCAGGUGACGGGGACAGACAAGGAAACGGAAGCUCUGAGAGGUAUAGUGUCUUGACCGCUGUCACACAGGUGGUGUUGAGUGGAUUUGAACCCAACUCUGUUGGACCCCAAAGUCUCCGUGCUCCAUCGCUAUGAUACACUGCCAGUCUCCCCAUGAAACCAGGGAGAGGUUCUUGGAUGUGCCCGUAUCACAGAGUGUGAGUCUGACCAGGGAUAUGGAAGGACCCGUGAAUGCCACCUGGGUCUAAGGGAGGACCCUGGUCCUCAGCAAGAAACUCUUGCUCUUUGCUGGAGAAAGAAAAGAGGAAUGUUUGCCAGUGGUCUUCCUUCCCUGUGAGCUGUCUUGGUUUGGAGCCAGAAAAAGCUAACAGAGAAGAGCAAGAGAAUUAAUGUGGAUCGAAUAGGUCAAGAAAUUAUUGCAGAGGACCCCAAUUCACACAUGUAUCAUCAAACCGUGUUGAUAAGCCAGCACUUCUUAAAGCGUAUUCCAAAAUUAAAUGGUGUUACUCGGGAAACAAAGGCUUCUGUGGUCAAAUAAGUUCAGAAACUGCAGGACUCCCCAGAUCCUUUAUCAUGCGACUCUGAGGCUCCACGGGAGGGAGAGUAGACAGUUUCCUAAUCUUAUUGAAGCCAAGAAGGCUUCUUUUCUUUUUUCUUUCUUUAACAGAGCAUUUGGCUCAGUGCUUCUUGAAGUGUGAGUCCCCCAGCCACCUGCAUCAGAACCACCUGAGGGGCUUCUCAGAAAGGCAGACUCUUGGGGCCGGCCUGGUGGCCUAGUGGUUAUGCUUGCACACUCUGCUUCGGUGGCCCAGGAUUCGUGGGUUCAGAUCCCAGACGGCACCCCUGCUAGGUGGCUCCAGUUUCUCUAACCAUUAGGAAGGUAUUACAGU
rnacentral:lncRNA from 1 species